GAGGGGGACGGUGGGGGGGUGGGCGCGACGCUGCCACUGUGCGGCCAGCCUUAGAAGACGACCGUUGCGGGCCGCUGGCCGCGCACGGCACGUCGGGCUCCUCUGGGACGUCGUUCGGCACGAACGGGCCUACCCGCCUCAUGCUCGUCCUCACCUAAGGCACCACGUGGUGUUGCAGCUGCCGAAGAGAAGCGGUGGCUCGAGACGAGGGGAGGGACACGUAGUCCUACUUCCAUAUGCUGCCCGUCCACAGCGCUUUCCUUAUGAGUACCAAAGACUUCUGACUGAUACGGACUCAUGAUGUGUCGUUGUUUGAGUCAAAUAUUUCACGUUCUAAAACAUCUUCAAGUUAAAAACUUUUUCUCCCGAGUCUGUACCGCUGUUCUUACUUCCACCUCCCCUUCCUCACCUCUCUUUCUACAGACAGAGGUGCACCAAGUACACGGAUAGUGGGUAAUUGUUAUAGAGUCAAUAGACGUACCAAGAGAUUAAUCAUACAAAAGGGCCUGCUUCUCUUCUGACUAGGAAGGUUUUUUUUAAGACCCGUACUUUUUAAGACCUGCUACUAUAGUCGCCGCAAAGACAAAACCGCCGCAAUUUUGUUAGACCUUAUAUUUCCUAAGACCUCUUCAGACCUAACGUUUGGAUCCCUCAAGCCCGUGGGGCAACCUCUCCUUCUUCUGCCAUCCGCCCGAGUCCUCUACAGCGUCGUUGUCGGCAGCUCGCAAACCUGCGAGACCAACACCAAGCCGUACGCUCCGCUAGUCGUCUCCGACGUUGAGGGUGUCGAGCGCACGCCUGCUACACCGGCCUGCUUGACCGUAGACAAAACCGCCGCAAACAAGCGUACACCUACCUCGAGCAUGCGGUCCUUCUUGACCGCAGAACUACCUCGAACAUGCGGUCCUUCUUGACCGCAGAACUACCUCGAACAUGCAGUCCUUCUUAACCGCAGAACUACCUCGAGCAUGCGGUCCUUCUUGACCGCAAGCAACCGCCCAGCUUCUUCAAACUAAAAACCAGCUACCUGGAGCAGGAGCAAGCACCGCUAGCACCCCAAGGUACCUGAAGAACAAGCACACAAGAGCAAGCACACAACUUGACACCUAGACCUAGAGCAUGCACCCGACUCAACCACCCGCGACUCAAACACACAACCUGACACCUAGAGCUAGAGCAUGCACCCGACUCAACCACCCCCGACUCAACCACUAAAACGCAUGCACCCGACUCAACCACCCGACGACGCACGCACACGCUCUAGCUUCCCUCCCCCCCUAGCUUCCUCCAGCUUGGUAGUGCUGCAAGCUAGGGGGAAAUUAUCAUCUCUAUAUACUGUAACGAUGAUCUAACGGAUCACGGGGACAAGUACCACCCGAUUUGAACAUAAACGAGGACGACAACGCAAAACUACUAGUACUCACACUACGUAAAACUACUAGAGGAACAUGGUCUACUCAGGCAGCUACUUCGCCGUCGCAGAGGAGAUCUCCCACUGCCACCACCGCCGCGGACACACGCCGAAGCUGAUGUUGGAGGAGAGGCCUCGAGGUCCGGAUUCUUUCAACCUUCACGCUUCUGCACUUCUUUUCGCACUUCGGCACUUCACGAUGAAUCGUUUCUCAACAGACAAGAUAAACUGACAUUAUAACAUUAUCGACCAUAUGGAUCCAACAUUAUCAGAUGUCUUUAACAUCAUGUGAUUAGAUCACAGUAAACUGCUCAAAGUGUACAAGAGAACAAACCUUAUAAACUAAUACUUACACUAAACUAACACACACUCUACCCUUGGACCGGUCACGUUGGGUGAAUACUUUAUUAU
rnacentral:rRNA from 1 species